UACGUGAGGGGGCAAGCGUUGUCCGGAAUCAUUGGGCGUAAAGAGCGUGUAGGCGGCUCGAUAAGUCUGCUGUGAAAGUCCAGGGCUCAACCCUGGAAGGCCGGUGGAAACUGUCGGGCUAGAGUCCGGAAGAGGCGAGUGGAAUUCCCGGUGUAGCGGUGAAAUGCGCAGAUAUCGGGAGGAACACCAAUGGCGAAGGCAGCUCGCUGGGACGGUACUGACGCUGAGACGCGAAAGCGUGGGGAGCAAACAGG
rnacentral:rRNA from 1 species